rnacentral:rRNA from 1 species
GGAGCUUGCUCCCGGAUGUUAGCGGCGGACGGGUGAGUAACACGUGGGUAACCUGCCUGUAAGACUGGGAUAACUCCGGGAAACCGGAGCUAAUACCGGAUAGUUCCUUGAACCGCAUGGUUCAAGGAUGAAAGACGGUUUCGGCUGUCACUUACAGAUGGACCCGCGGCGCAUUAGCUAGUUGGUGAGGUAACGGCUCACCAAGGCGACGAUGCGUAGCCGACCUGAGAGGGUGAUCGGCCACACUGGGACUGAGACACGGCCCAGACUCCUACGGGAGGCAGCAGUAGGGAAUCUUCCGCAAUGGACGAAAGUCUGACGGAGCAACGCCGCGUGAGUGAUGAAGGUUUUCGGAUCGUAAAGCUCUGUUGUUAGGGAAGAACAAGUGCAAGAGUAACUGCUUGCACCUUGACGGUACCUAACCAGAAAGCCACGGCUAACUACGUGCCAGCAGCCGCGGUAAUACGUAGGUGGCAAGCGUUGUCCGGAAUUAUUGGGCGUAAAGGGCUCGCAGGCGGUUUCUUAAGUCUGAUGUGAAAGCCCCCGGCUCAACCGGGGAGGGUCAUUGGAAACUGGGAAACUUGAGUGCAGAAGAGGAGAGUGGAAUUCCACGUGUAGCGGUGAAAUGCGUAGAGAUGUGGAGGAACACCAGUGGCGAAGGCGACUCUCUGGUCUGUAACUGACGCUGAGG